CUGCAAUGAUGUGACCACACUUGCCUGAGCAG
rnacentral:piRNA from 1 species